GGGGCUGAUUCUGGAUUCGACGGGAUUGGCGAAGCCCAAGGUGCACGUCGAGGUGCGGUAGGCCUCGUAAAUAAACCGCAAAAAAAUAGUCGCAAACGACGAACAAUACGCUUUAGCAGCUUAAUAACCUGCAUUUAGCCUUCGCUCCCUAGCUUCCGCUCGUAAGACGGGGAUCAAGCGGAGUCAAAUUUAAACGAGAUCGUGUGGACGCUUCGGCUUGGAGAUCGAAACACUAAAUUGAAUCAAGCUAGUUUAUUCUUCGCGUGUCUGUCCGCAGGGGGGUAAAUGAAAUUAAAGACUAGACUAAACGUGUAGUGCUGAAGGUAGAGUAAUUUCGGACGCGGGUUCAACUCCCGCCAGCUCCACCA
rnacentral:tmRNA from 1 species